rnacentral:rRNA from 1 species
UACGGGGGGGGUAAGCGUUGUUCGGAAUUACUGGGCGUAAAGGGUUCGUAGGUGGCCAACUAAGUCAGACGUGAAAUCCCUCAGCUCAACUGGGGAACUGCGUCUGAUACUGGUUGGCUUGAGUGCAGGAGAGGAACGCGGAAUUCCAGGUGUAGCGGUGAAAUGCGUAGAUAUCUGGAGGAACACCGGUGGCGAAGGCGGCGUUCUGGACUGCAACUGACACUGAGGAACGAAAGCCAGGGGAGCAAACGGG